rnacentral:rRNA from 1 species
GACUACGGCCAUAUCACGAUCCAUGCACCUCAUCCCGUCCGAUUUGAGAAGUUAAGCAUCGUCGAGCCACAUCAGUACUGAGGUUGGAGACAACUUGGGAACCUGUGGUGCUGUAGUCU